rnacentral:rRNA from 1 species
CCUACGGGAGGCAGCAGUGGGGAAUAUUGGUCAAUGGGCGCAAGCCUGACCCAGCAACGCCACGUGAAGGAAGAAGGCUUUCGGGUUGUAAACUUCUUUUUUCAGGGAAGAGUAGAAGACGGUACCUGACGAAUAAGCAACGGCUAACUACGUUCCAGCAGCCGCGGUAAUACGUAGGUGGCAAGCGUUGUCCGGAUUUACUGGGUGUAAAGGGCGUGUAGCCGGGUUGACAAGUCAGAUGUGAAAUCCUGCGGCUUAACCGCAGAACUGCAUUUGAAACUGUUGAUCUUGAGUACUGGAGAGGCAGAUGGAAUUCCUAGUGUAGCGGUGAAAUGCGUAGAUAUUAGGAGGAACACCAGGGGCGAAGGCGGUCUGCUGGACAGCAACUGACGGUGAGGCGCGAAAGCGUGGGGAGCAAACAGGAUUAGAUACCCCUGUAGUC